GGCUGCAUGGUGGCGCAGUUGGUAGCACAGUUGCUUGCAGCAAGAAGGUCCUGGGUUCAAUUCCCAGCCCAGGGCCU